GUGCUCGCUUCAGUAGCACAUAUACUAAAAAAAAAUUGGAGUAGUACCGAGAAUAUCAGCAUGGCCCAUACACAAGGAUGCCACGAAAAUUCAUGAAGCAUUCCAUAUUUUG